ensembl:lncRNA
GUCCAGUUCAAAUUAGCGCCUGGCUGUAGAUUGAACAGCCAAUGAGACAUGACCUGCCGGAUCAUGUGAUCACCAGAGUUUUUGUACGGGGAGGAAGGAGAACGUCUCACUGUGUGACACCACUAGUCCAACAGGAACAGUAGUAGGUGGCAGAAUGGGACGCGUUCACCGUCUGAAGAAACAACUCCCAGCUGUUCUCUUUGAGGACUGAUGAGAAAUCAUCCUUUUGAGGAUGUUUGUAUCUUUUAUCAAGACCACCAUUACUCUUGUUAAUGUCGAGAAUCAGGGUGAAGGUUUCGCUCUCUUUCUUCUGGUACCAGUAGAUAUAAUCAUCAGGACACUGGUCAGUGUCUGUACAUCUGAAGGAGACAUUUUCCCCUUCUCUCCUGGUCCACGACACCUGGUCCUGAGUCAGCUCUGCUGCCAUGGCAACCACCGCUGUAGGGACAAGAGCACAUGGAUGAGCAUCCGUGUUCUGGGGUGGACGAAACCCGAUGUGUGGCGAGUUGUGAUUGGUGGGAAACUGUCACCUAAACACAGUGAGCUCCAGGCAGCCCUAGAGAGUAGAAGCAUCUGGUCUGUAGGAGAAGCUGAG